rnacentral:tRNA from 1 species
GCCGGGAUGAGCCUCGGUGGUCCGUGGUGCAGGCUUCAAACCUGUAGCUGACUAGCAUCAGAGCGGUUCGAUUCCGCCUUCUCGGC